UAUUGCAAAAUGGCAUAUUAUAGUUUAGGAGCAUUGAUAAGUCCCCCCCCUGAUCAAGAUCAAAUGGCAUUUCCUCAUAUAGUGGCAGGGAAAAAA